rnacentral:tRNA from 1 species
GGGUCGAUGCCCGAGUGGUUAAGGGGGACGGACGGUAAAUUCGUCGACNAUAUGUNUNCGCUGGUNCAAAUCCAGCUCGGCCCA